rnacentral:rRNA from 1 species
GAUGAACGCUGGCGGCGUGCCUAAUACAUGCAAGUCGAACGCUGGAGAUCUAGCUUGCUAGAUCGAAGGAGUGGCGAACGGGUGAGUAAUACAUAAGCAACCUACCCACGAAGACUGGGAUAAUCUCUGGAAACGGGGACUAAUACCGGAUAGGUAAUCGGAAGGCAUCUUCUGGUUAUUAAAGGUUAAAAACACUGGUGGAUGGGCUUAUGGCGCAUUAGUUAGUUGGUGAGGUAACGGCCCACCAAGACGAUGAUGCGUAGCCGGCCCGAGAGGGUGAACGGCCACAUUGGGACUGAGACACGGCCCAGACUCCUACGGGAGGCAGCAGUAGGGAAUUUUCGGCAAUGGGGGCAACCCUGACCGAGCAACGCCGCGUGAGUGAAGACGGCCUUCGGGUUGUAAAGCUCUGUUGUAAGGGAAGAACGGUAGAUAGAGAAUAUCUAAGUGACGGUACCUUACCAGAAAGCCACGGCUAACUACGUG